rnacentral:pre_miRNA from 1 species
GGGGAGGACGGAUCUUGGGCUGUGUCCGGCGCCCUGUGCUCCUGGUCUGCGCUGUUAGGAUCGCGCUCCCGGCCGCGCAGCCCAGU